CCUACGGGAGACAGCAGUGGGGGAUAUUGCACAAUGGGGGAAACCCUGAUGCAGCGACGCCGCGUGUGGGAAGACGGUCCUCUGGAUUGUAAACCACUGUCACCAGGGACGAAGAUGACGGUACCGGGGGAGGAAGCGCCGGCUAACUACGUGCCAGCAGCCGCGGUAAUACGUAGGGAGCGAGCGUUGUCCGGAAUUACUGGGUGUAAAGGGAGCGUAGGCGGGACUGCAAGUUGGGUGUCAAAUCUACCGGCUCAACCGGUAGCCGCACUCCAAACUGCAGUUCUUGAGUGAAGUAGAGGCAGGCGGACUUCCUAGUGUAGCGGUGAAAUGCGUAGAUAUUAGGAGGAACACCAGUGGCGAAGGCGGCCUGCUGGGCUUUUCCUGACGCUGCGGCUCGAAAGUGUGGGGAGCAAACAGGAUUAGAUACCCCAGUAGUC
rnacentral:rRNA from 1 species